UUAUUAGACUCCAUAGAUUUUUUUAAUAUAUAAUAUUUAGUUAAUCUUUGUAUGUCCUUGUUACUACAUUACUAUUUGGUUAGUCUUUGUACUUCACAUCAGAUCCUAUAAUUCAAUGACAUAGGUCAUUGCGCAUUUGUUCUUUGUUCUUUUUUACAGGAUCCAGAGAACAAAAGGGUGAUAGUUUGUGAUGAGAAGCUGAAAAAAGUAUUUGGAGGAAGAGAUCGUGUUGGCUUCCUUGAAAUCCCAGGAUUGCUGAAUCCUCACUUUUUGAAAUGAAGAAUCUUCUCAGGAGUUGGUUCCUGUACAUGAAUGACUCCUGGCUUUUCACUAUUAAAGCAGGCAUCAUUAUGCAUCAUUAUGGAAUAGUAUCAACCCAGCAUGUGGGGCUCUUGUAAAUGAUCCAGGAUUGUGAGCAUAUAAGAAUGUUAUUCUUUGGUGAACCAAUUAAAUUUGACAGGAUGGCCCUGGUCAUGUAUAAGCAAGGAGCUGGGCAGAGGUGGGGAAUUUGACAAAACACUAUAUAUUGUAAAUAAUUAAGAUAUGAGGUUUUCUAUUUUUCCCCCUCCGACAAGGAAAGUGAGUAGAUUUUGUUGUUGUACAGACGGUGUACAUCAAUGAAGAGUAAUGAUUCUGCAUGAAAA